rnacentral:rRNA from 1 species
UUGAAGAGAGAGUUCAAGAGUACGUGAAACUGCUCAGAGGUAAACGGGUGGGCCCUCGAAAUCCCGUCGCGGGGGGAUUCAGUCGGGAGGGCGCGGGAUGGCCGCAGUCGAUGGGUCGGACGCCGUAGUAGCGUCGGGCCGCGGCCAGCGUCUCGCGUCCCGCCCGACGCACUUCCCCCCGCGCUGCGGACGCCGCAGCCCGUCGGGGACCGGUCAUGAGGGCGCGUUUCGGCAGGUGGCGGGCGACGGGUCGCAGAGCCGGUCGCCCGUGGAUAGCCGUGCGCGUUUUUCCGGGCGCGGUACCCGACGGAGGUCGAAGUUUCCCCAGUCCCGGGGAACCGGCCGUCCCCUCCUUUUCGUAGAGCGAGCACCGCUUCAGGUGUCGGGCGCCGCAAGCAGGUCCGCCGAAUCACCCCCUCGCGGUGACCGGCGGAGCGCACGCACCGUUGUAGUGGCGGGCGUCUCGCCGAGGGACAGCAGACGGCUGGCGGCGAGUAGGUCGGUAACCCACCCGACCCGUCUUGAAACACGGACCAAGGAGUCUAACAUGUGCGCGAGUCAGUGGGUCUUGAAUAGGCCCAAGGGCGGAAUGAAAGUGAAGGUCGACCGCAGUCGUCGUCCGCGUUGGGAUCCCGGGGCCGCCACACGUCGGCCGCGGGCGCACCAACGGCCCGUCCGGUCCGAUUCAUCGGUCGGGCGGAGCGAGAGCGCACACGUUGGGACCCGAAAGAUGGUGAACUAUGCGUGGGCAGGGUGAAGUCAGGGGAAACCCUGGUGGAAGCCCGCAGCGGUUCUGACGU